rnacentral:rRNA from 1 species
AUUGAACGCUGGCGGCAGGCCUAACACAUGCAAGUCGAACGAGUGGCGGACGGGUGCGUAAUGUCUGGGAAACUGCCUGAUGGAGGGGGAUAACUACUGGAAACGGUAGCUAAUACCGCAUACCAUCGGAUGUGCCCAGAGGGGAUUAGCUGGUAGGUGGGGUAAAGGCCCACCUCGGCGACGAUCCCUAGCUGGUCUGAGAGGAUGACCAGCCAAACUGGAACGGAGACACUGUCCAGACUCCUACGGGCGGCAGCAGUGGGGAAUAUUGCACAAUGGGCGCAAGCCUGAUGCAGCCAUGCCGAGUGUAGGAAGAAGGCCUUCGGGUUGUAAAGUACUUUCAGCGGGGAGGAGUUACCCGCAGAAGAAGCACCGGCUGACUCCGUGCCAGCAGCCGCGGUAAUAC